GCGGCUGUGGCGAAAUGGCAGACGCGCUAGCUUGAGGUGCUAGAGCCCGCAAGGGUGUGGAGGUUCGAGUCCUCUCAGCCGCA
rnacentral:tRNA from 1 species